rnacentral:rRNA from 1 species
UCUGGUUGAUCCUGCCAGAGGUCACUGCUAUCGGGGUUCGAUUAAGCCAUGCGAGUCGAGAGGGUUCGGCCCUCGGCGUACUGCUCAGUAACACGUGGAUAACCUGCCCUAGGGAAGGGGAUAACCCCGGGAAACUGGGGAUAAUACCCUAUAGAUUACAGAUGCUGGAAUGCCCUGUAAUCCAAAGUUCCGACGCCCUAGGAUGGAUCUGCGGCCGAUUAGGUUGUUGUUGGGGUAAUGGCCCAACAAGCCCGUAAUCGGUACGGGUUGUGGGAGCAAGAGCCCGGAGUUGGAUUCUGAGACACGAAUCCAGGCCCUACGGGGCGCAGCAGGCGCGAAAACUUUACAAUGCGGGCAACCGUGAUAAGGGAACCUCGAGUGCCUGUAAAUGCAGGCUGUUCAGGUGCCUAAAACACACCUGAAGAAAGGGCCGGGCAAGACCGGUGCCAGCCGCCGCGGUAAUACCGGCGGCUCGAGUGGUGGCCGCUUUUAUUGGGCUUAAAGCGUUCGUAGCUGGGUUGUUAAGUCUCUUGGGAAAUCUGGCGGCUUAACCGUCAGGCGUCUAAGGGAUACUGGCAAUCUUGGAACCGGGAGAGGUGAGGGGUACUUCGGGGGUAGGAGUGAAAUCCUGUAAUCCUCGAGGGACCACCUGUGGCGAAGGCGCCUCACCAGAACGGCUUCGACAGUGAGGGACGAAAGCUGGGGGAGCAAACCGGAUUAGAUACCCGGGUAGUCCCAGCCGUAAACUAUGCGCGUUAGGUGUAUCGGUGACCACGAGUUACCGAGGUGCCGAAGGGAAACCGUGAAACGUGCCGCCUGGGAAGUACGGUCGCAAGGCUGAAACUUAAAGGAAUUGGCGGGGGAGCACCACAACAGGUGGAGCCUGCGGUUUAAUUGGACUCAACGCCGGGAAGCUCACCGGAUAAGACAGCAGAAUGAUUGCCGGGCUGAAGGCUCUGCAUGACUAGCUGAGAGGAGGUGCAUGGCCGUCGUCAGUUCGUACUGUGAAGCAUCCUGUUAAGUCAGGCAACGAGCGAGACCC